rnacentral:rRNA from 1 species
UACGUAGGGUGCGAGCGUUAAUCGGAAUUACUGGGCGUAAAGCGUGCGCAGGCGGUUCGUUGUGUCGGCGGUGAAAGCCCCGGGCUUAACUUGGGAAUGGCCGUUGAAACUGGCGAACUGGAGUGUGGCAGAGGGGGGUGGAAUUCCGCGUGUAGCAGUGAAAUGCGUAGAGAUGCGGAGGAACACCGAUGGCGAAGGCAGCCCCCUGGGCUAACACUGACGCUCAGGCACGAAAGCGUGGGGAGCAAACAGG